UUAGUACUCCCUCCGUUCCAAAAUAAGUGACUCAAGUUUGUACUAAAGUUAGUACAAAGUUGAGUCACUUAUUUUGGGACGGAGGGAGUAUUUU
rnacentral:pre_miRNA from 1 species